AGAGUUUGAUCAUGCCUCUGAUUGAACGCUGGCGGCAGGCCUAACACAUGCAAGUCCAUCGGUAGAGAGGUGCUUGCACCUCUUGAGAGCGGCGGACGGGUGAGUAAAGCCUAGGAAUCUGCCUGGUAGUGCGGGAUAACGCUCGGAAACGGACGCUAAUACCGCAUACGUCCUACGGGAGAAAGCAGGGGACCUUCGGGCCUUGCGCUAUCAGAUGAGCCUAGGUCGGAUUAGCUAGUUGGUGAGGUAAUGGCUCACCAAGGCGACGAUCCGUAACUGGUCUGAGAGGAUGAUCAGUCACACUGGAACUGAGACACGGUCCAGACUCCUACGGGAGGCAGCAGUGGGGAAUAUUGGACAAUGGGCGAAAGCCUGAUCCAGCCAUGCCGCGUGUGUGAAGAAGGUCUUCGGAUUGUAAAGCACUUUAAGUUGGGAGGAAGGGCAUUAACCUAAUACGUUAGUGUUUUGACGUUACCGACAGAAUAAGCACCGGCUAACUCUGUGCCAGCAGCCGCGGUAAUACAGAGGGUGCAAGCGUUAAUCGGAAUUACUGGGCGUAAAGCGCGCGUAGGUGGUUCGUUAAGUUGGAUGUGAAAUCCCCGGGCUCAACCUGGGAACU
rnacentral:rRNA from 1 species